rnacentral:rRNA from 1 species
AGUGGCAGACGGGUGAGUAAUGUAUAGGAAUCGACCUAGUAGUACGGAAUAAUUGUUGGAAACGGCAACUAAUACCGUAUACGCCCUACGGGGGAAAGAUUUAUCGCUAUUAGAUGAGCCUAUAUUAGAUUAGCUAGUUGGUAAGGUAAUGGCUUACCAAGGCAAUGAUCUAUAGCUGAUCUGAGAGGAUGAUCAGCCACACUGGAACUGAGAUACGGUCCAGACUCCUACGGGAGGCAGCAGUGGGGAAUAUUGGACAAUGGGCGAAAGCCUGAUCCAGCCAUGCCGCAUGAGUGAAGAAGGCCUUUGGGUUGUAAAGCUCUUUCGGUGAGGAAGAUAAUGACGGUACUCACAGAAGAAGUCCUGGCUAACUCCGUGCCAGCAGCCGCGGUAAUACGGAGAGGGCUAGCGUUAUUCGGAAUUAUUGGGCGUAAAGAGCGCGUANGCUGGUUAGUAAGUUAAAAGUGAAAUCCCAAAGCUCAACUUUGGAAUUGCUUUUAAAACUGCUAACCUAGAGAUUGAAAGAGGAUAGAGGAAUUCCUAGUGUANAGGUGAAAUUCGUAAAUAUUAGGAGGAACACCAGUGGCGAA